UUGGAGGACAUAUAGAACCUUGGAAGGCAAGAGGAAGACUGACAAAGAACAAAGUCUCCAUUAUUGGAAGCUGGAGACCAGGCAGUUGAAGAUGGGAGACUGGAGGUAUGAGAAGAAUGAUCUGAAUAGAACUGGUAACUGAAUGCAUGAGAACUGAAGAGAUCACCAAGAGAAAUAAUAUAGAGGGAGAAAAGAAGAGGGACCAGAACAGGACCUUGGGGGACACUGACAGUGGGAAGAGCCUGGAUGAAGAUCUAGUAAAGAAAACUGAGGAGUGGUCAGACUGUUGAAUGUCUAUAGGAGACAAAACAGAUGAAGCUAUAACUUUGUGAUCUUCACAAUGUCCGAAGAGUCAUCAGAAAUGAGAGUCCAUAGCUGAGUAGUUGUAGCAGC